AAAGAUGAAAAGCACUUUGGAAAGAGAGUUAAACAGUACGUGAAAUUGUUGAAAGGGAAACGAUUGAAGUCAGUCGUGUUCAUUGGAUUCAGCUAGUUCUUCUAGUCUACUUCCUUUGAACGGGUCAACAUCAGUUUUGUCCGGUGGAUAAAGGAUUUAGGAAUGUAACUCCCUCGGGAGUGUUAUAGCCUAGGUUCACAUACACUGGGUGAGACUGAGGACUGCAGCUCGCCUUUUGGCCGGGGUUCGCCCACGUUCGAGCUUAGGAUGUUGACAUAAUGGCUU
rnacentral:rRNA from 1 species